GAAGCUGCAAUAGUUCAAGGGCAAAAUUGGGAAGCUCUUGGCAGAAAAUAUGAAAGCCACAGGCUGAUGAUGUGUGCUGGAUUGUGCAAUGGAGUCCUGCCAACAUGUCUUCCAACCAUGAGAAGUCUUUCCAAGGAAAAUGACCCUGGCAACCAUAGAGAGUGAUCCUUGUUUGCACACCUGGUUGGGACAGCUUGAGUGAUGUUGGGGAGCAUGGACUUAUGGAAAGAAUGAAAUAAGAGGGGAAACACUUGUGAAAACUGGACAAAAGCUUUCUAAAACAUUCUGCCAUCUUAAGUUCUACCAAGGCCAGUGGGACAUCACUGAACCAAAAGCCAGCCCGUGGAGAAGUCCUGUGAUUCCCAGAAAUGGACCUGCCUUAGCACAAGCUAUGAUAUGUUCAGUCAUUGGCCUCAAUGCCAACUCAGAGCUCAGUGACUG